AGAGUUUGAUCCUGGCUCAGGAUGAACGCUGGCGGCGUGCCUAAUACAUGCAAGUCGUGCGGAAAGGCCACUUCGGUGGUACUCGAGCGGCGGACGGCAGAGUAACGCGUAGGAACAUACCCCAAACUGAGGCAUAACUGCUCGAAAGAGCAGCUAAUACCGCAUGUGAUCUUCGGAUUAAAGCUUCGGCGGUUUGGGAAUGGCCUGCGUCCGAUUAGCUAGUUGGUGAGGUAAAUGCUCACCAAGGCUUCGAUCGGUAGCUGGUCUGAGAGGAUGAUCAGCCUGACUGGAACUGAGAACGGUCCAGACUCCUACGGGAGGCAGCAGUAGGGAAUUUUCCACAAUGGGCGAAAGCCUGAUGGAGCAACGCCGCGUGCAGGAUGAAUGCCUUCGGGUUGUAAACUGCUUUUAUUAGUGAAGAAUAUGACGGUAACUAAUGAAUAAGGGUCGGCUAACUACGUG
rnacentral:rRNA from 1 species